rnacentral:rRNA from 1 species
UCAGAUGUCCGGGGCCGCACGCGCGCUACACUGAAGGAAUCAGCGUGUGCUUUCCCGGUCCGUCAGGACUGGGUAACCCGUUGAACCUCCUUCGUGAUAGGGAUAGGGGCUUGUAAUUCUUGCCCUUGAACGAGGAAUUCCUAGUAAGCACGAGUCACUACCUCGUGUUGAUUAUGUCCCUGCCCUUUGUCCACACCGCCCGUCGCUACAACCGAUUGAACGGGGUGGUGAGGUCCUCGGACUGGCGCUCGAAGCGGUCCUUCGGGCCGGGUCGACGUGCCGGAAAGAUGGCCGAACUUCACCGUUUAGAGGAUGUAAAAGUCGUAACAAGGUUUCC